GAUGAACGCUGGCGGCGUGCCUAAUACAUGCAAGUCGAGCGAACGGACGAGAAGCUUGCUUCUCUGAUGUUAGCGGCGGACGGGUGAGUAACACGUGGAUAACCUACCUAUAAGACUGGGAUAACUUCGGGAAACCGGUGCUAAUACCGGAUGAUAUUUUUAACCGCAUGGUUCAAAAGUGAAAGACGGUCUUGCUGUCACUUAUAGAUGGAUCCGCGGUUCAUUAGCUAGUUGGUAAGUAAACGGCUUACAAAGGCAACGAUGCAUAGCCGACCUGAGAGGGUGAUCGGCCAAACGGGAACGGAGACACGGUCCAGACUCCUCCGGGAGCAAGAAGUAGGGAAUCUUCCGAAAAGGGCGAAAGCCUGACGGAGCAACGCCGCGUGAGUGAGGAAGGUUUUCGGAUCUUAAAACUCUGUGAUUAGGGAAGAACAUAUGUGUAAGUAACUGUGCACCUAUUGACGGUACCUAACCAGAAAGCCACGGCUAACUACGUG
rnacentral:rRNA from 1 species